rnacentral:rRNA from 1 species
ACAGAAGAAAGCACCGGCUAACUCCGUGCCAGCAGCCGCGGUAAUACGGAGGGUGCGAGCGUUAAUCGGAAUUACUGGGCGUAAAGCGCAUGCAGGUGGUUUGUUAAGUCAGAUGUGAAAGACCCGGGGCGUCAACCUCGGAAUAGCAUUUGUAAACUAGGCAGACUAGAGUACUGUAGAGGGGGGUAGGAAUUUCAGGUGUAGCGGUGAAAUGCGUAGAGAUCUGAAGGAAUACCGGUGGCGAAGGCGGCCCCCUCGGACAGAUACUGACACUCAGAUGCGAAAGCGUGGGGAGCAAACAGGAUUAGAUACCCUGGUAG